rnacentral:rRNA from 1 species
GACGAACGCUGGCGGCGUGCCUAAUACAUGCCAGUCGAGCGGACGAAUCGAAAGCUUGCUUUUGAUUCGUUAGCGGCGGACGGGUGAGUAACACGUGGGCAACCUGCCCUGUAGACGGGGAUAACACCGAGAAAUCGGUGCUAAUACCGGAUAACACGAAAUGUCGCAUGACGUUUCGUUGAAAGACGGCGCAAGCUGCCGCUACAGGAUGGGCCCGCGGCGCAUUAGCUAGUUGGCGAGGUAACGGCUCACCAAGGCGACGAUACGUAGCCGACCUGAGAGGGUGAUCGGCCACACUGGGACUGAGACACGGCCCAGACUCCUACGGGAGGCAGCAGUAGGGAAUCUUCCGCAAUGGACGAAAGUCUGACGGAGCAACGCCGCGUGAGCGAAGAAGGCCUUCGGGUCGUAAAGCUCUGUUGUUAGGGAAGAACAAGUAACGCAGUAACUGGCGUUACCGUGACGGUACCUAACGAGAAAGCCACGGCUAACUACGUG